rnacentral:rRNA from 1 species
CGCGGGGCAACCUGGCGGCGAGCGGCGAACGGGUGAGUAAUGCAUCGGAACAUGUCCAUGUCGUGGGGGAUAGCCCGGCGAAAGCCGGAUUAAUACCGCAUACGCCCGAGAGGGGAAAGUGGGGGACCGCAAGGCCUCACGCGAUUGGGUUGGCCGAUGUCCGAUUAGCUAGUUGGCGGGGUAAGAGCCCACCAAGGCGAUGAUCGGUAGCUGGUCUGAGAGGAUGAUCAGCCACACUGGGACUGAGACACGGCCCAGACUCCUACGGGAGGCAGCAGUGGGGAAUUUUGGACAAUGGGGGCAACCCUGAUCCAGCCAUUCCGCGUGAGUGAAGAAGGCCUUCGGGUUGUAAAGCUCUUUUGUCCGGAACGAAACGGGUAGGUCUAAUAAGCCUGCCUACUGACGGUACCGGAAGAAUAAGCACCGGCUAACUACGUGCCAGCAGCCGCGGUAAUACGUAGGGUGCGAGCGUUAAUCGGAAUUACUGGGCGUAAAGCGUGCGCAGGCGGUUUUGUAAGCCAGAUGUGAAAUCCCCGGGCUUAACCUGGGAAUGGCAUUUGGGACUGCAAGGCUUGAGUGCGGCAGAGGAGACUGGAAUUCCUGGUGUAGCAGUGAAAUGCGUAGAUAUCAGGAGGAAUACCGAUGGCGAAGGCAGGUCUCUGGGCUGACACUGACGCUCAUGCACGAAAGCGUGGGGAGCAAACAGGAUUAGAUACCCUGGUAGUCCACGCCCUAAACGAUGUCGACUGGUUGUUGGGGGUUUGACACUCUCAGUAACGAAGCUAACGCGUGAAGUCGACCGCCUGGGGAG